rnacentral:tRNA from 1 species
AGCCCCGUGGUGUAGCCGGUCAAGCAUAGGAGGUUUUGGUCCUUCUGACCCAGGUUCGAGUCCUGGCGGGGCUACCA